UACGUAGGGGGCAAGCGUUGUCCGGAAUCAUUGGGCGUAAAGCGCGUGUAGGCGGCUCGAUAAGUCUGCUGUGAAAGUCCAGGGCUCAACCCUGGGAUGCCGGUGGAUACUGUCGAGCUCGAGUCCGGAAGAGGUGUGUGGAAUUCCUGGUGUAGCGGUGAAAUGCGCAGAUAUCAGGAGGAACACCAGUGGCGAAGGCGGCCUGCCAGCUACGCCGG
rnacentral:rRNA from 1 species